rnacentral:lncRNA from 1 species
UAUCAAGUCAGAUGAAAGAAGAUUAGAUAUAAGCUGGUCUAGCGAACUAGUCAUAAAUCCUUCUAUUGACUUUACUAAGUCAUGAAGAGGACUAUAGAUAAGUUGAACUAGGGGCACCUAAAUCAGUCAUAUUGAUUUUCUAUUUAGCAAGGGUCAACUCCAAUCAUUAAAUGAUCUGAUCAAAAUAUGAUUUACCACGUUGGUCAGGUAAG